GGCCAGACUCCUACGGGAGGCAGCAGUGGGGAAUCUUCCGCAAUGGGCGAAAGCCUGACGGAGCAACGCCGCGUGAUCGAAUGAAGGCCUUCGGGUUGUAAAGAUCUGUUGACAGGGACGAAUAAGCAAUGCGAAUAGUUUUGUGUAUGACGGUACCUGUUUAGAAAGCUCCGGCUAAAUACGUGCCAGCAGCCGCGGUAAUACGUAUGGAGCAAGCGUUAUCCGGAUUUACUGGGUGUAAAGGGAGCGCAGGCGGCUUUGCAAGUCUGAUGUGAAAGGCCGGGGCUCAACCCCGGGACUGCAUUGGAAACUGUAAAGCUAGAGUGCCGGAGAGGUAAGCGGAAUUCCUAGUGUAGCGGUGAAAUGCGUAGAUAUUAGGAGGAACACCAGUGGCGAAGGCGGCUUACUGGACGGCAACUGACGCUGAGGCUCGAAAGCGUGGGGAGCAAACAGGAUUAGAUACCCGCGUA
rnacentral:rRNA from 1 species